AUUGAACGCUGGCGGCAGGCCUAACACAUGCAAGUCGAACGAGCGGCGGACGGGUGAGUAAUGUUUGGGGAUCUGGCCUAUGGAGGGGGAUAACUACGGGAAACGGUAGCUAAUACCGCGUACCAUAGGAUGAACCCAAGUGGGAUUAGCUAGUUGGUGGGGUAAAGGCUCACCAAGCGACGAUCUCUAGCUGGUCUGAGAGGAUGACCAGCCACACUGGGACUGAGACACGGCCCAGACUCCUACGGGAGGCAGCAGUGGGGAAUAUUGCGCAAUGGGGGCAAGCCUGACGCAGCCAUGCCGCGUGAAUGAAGAAGGCCUUAGGGUUGUAAAGUUCUUUCGGUGGCGAGGCGUUACCCGCAGAAGAAGCACCGGCUAACUCCGUGCCAGCAGCCGCGGUAAUAC
rnacentral:rRNA from 1 species